rnacentral:misc_RNA from 1 species
UUAUGGCAAAAUACAUCACAGCAAAUAUUAAGUUUGACCAUCUAUGAUCCAUUGAAGUACUAGUUCAUAAAGCAUAUGAAUUAACAUCAAGCAACAGUCACAGUUUCUGCAGGCUUUGUUUCGGGCUCUGCAGGUGCCUCUGCUUCCCAGAAGGUAGUCUUCUUCCCGGUCUUUGAAACAGUCUGAAGAACUGCCUCUGGCUGCACGUUUCCUUUCACUGUAAC